UUUGUGGCCAAUGUCUAAUCCCUUGCUCAAAUUACCAGUGAUGCCGUGGACUUGUGAUAGUUCACUAUUUGUCUGCUAGGUGAGCAGAUAUGGAAGAGAGCAAAGCUCUUCCCCAAAACGUAGAUGGAUAGGAUAAGAUGUGGACUAGGGUAAUCUUUUAUAUGAAACAGAGUAUUCAUUGAUGGUUUAUUGCAUUGCCUCUAGUGAGAUUCAUAGGCAUCUUCACCAAAUGUAUAUCAUAUGAUAACCAGUUGGGUUUGGGUUAAGUCUAGAACUGCUUUCUACUUUUGCUUUUUGCAUUUUUUGGCUAGGAUGAGUUGUACAGGGCAAGUAAAACAAAUCUUUAGCUUCUGAGAAUUCCCUAUUUCUUUUUCUGAAGAAUUUUGUCAGCUCUACUUGAUUGUACCAAAGCAUCAAACUUGUAUAAAUAUGUGAAGCAAUGCCCCUAGAAAUGUGCAGAUGUUACUAUUAGCUAGUAGUUGCACUUCCUUAGAGUCUUCUAUUAGAUGUUUUCGUACCAAAGUUCAGCAGUAUAACAGUCUGACGCCAUAUAUUUAUUUAACUAAAAUAUGGCUUGUGAUAUUUUGCUGCAUUUGAGGUAAUGUUCUUAAUAACAUUAAGAAAAUGAUAGUAAUUAUCCCCUUUCUUUUUAAUGCAUAUUUAAAUGGAAAUGGUUUUUUGUGAUCAAGAUGAAAAGAAUAGAGCACAUAUUUCGAAGUGGCUAAGGUUAUCCAUUAGAAUGUAUGGAAGUUUUGAGAAGUCAUUGGACGAGCUGAUAUCCUUUUUCAGAGAAGUCAAUGCCCGUUUUGAGUUCCUUUAUUAAUAUUUCCUUUCUUUUUAGACUGUUUGGUUUUCUUGUGCAUGGACUGUGGUCUAAUGGUGUUACAUAAGGUCUUUUCUCUGGCUUCACUUGUUUGCAGGACUUGGUUUUCAAGAAAUCAUGCUCAUUCCUUGAUGUUACUUAAAAAAAACAUAUUAUUUAUCACUAAGCAAAACAAUACAUGUUGACUUGUCACAUUGUGCUGAAAACAAAGUUUCAACUGAGCAAAUCACUCAAAAUCGUCUUGUAGCAUACAAAUAUGAAAAUCUUCCUCACACUCCUUUUGUGAACGAUUUCUGUCUUUUUUCAUAUGAUAAUAAAGCAAAUGAGAGGUUUAUAUUUGAUCGAUUUUUGUCUUUUUCUUCUAUAAUUUCCUGGCCUUAUGAUGCGGGGAACCUUAUUGAACCCCAUAUUCUUUUAGGAAAAUAUAGUCAUUUUUCUCAUGUUGUACUAGCUGAACUGUAUUGUUCUUUUAUAUAUGUGCUGCUAUAAUUUUACCGGGUUAUUAGACAUUAUCUUAACCCACACGACUUGUACCUCUUUGAUUAUGUUCAUCAUUGCUAGACAUUUUUUUGUUGUAGUGACUCCAGCCUCUUCAGUUCAGUGCUUAGAAAUGUGUGUUUUCCAUUUCUUUUAGGCAAAUGCAUGACCAAGUUGUAUUAAAGAGUGAAAAAUGAAGAAACAUGUUGCUAUUGUAUCAUCUGAUGUUGUCACUGUAAACAUCUUAUCUUGCUGGUUACUUUCAAAGUAAUUAGUUAUUUUGAGAAUGAAAAAUAUUAUGUGGUUCUGGCUAUAAAUUCUUAUGCUGUGAUUGUGUUCAUUUAUGCUAUGUUUGGAAACAUAAAUUUGAAAAUUUAGAUUUGGAAUUCAUUUGUAACCUCAGAGUACUCUUCUGUUUUAAUUGCUGUAAUGUGGGUUUUAAGAUCCAUUGCAAUUACAUGUCAAGCUUUUCACUUUGCCAGAACCCCAAAGGCAUUAUUGUUUGAGAUUUUUGAUGGAAUUAUUUGAUAUGUACUUGAAAUAUUUUGCUAACAGCCUAAAAGUUAAAAAUGAAUUAUUUGCUAACAUUUUGCAAAAGGCUCACACGGACCUCGACAAAAUGGGUCUACUGCAGUUUCACAAGACAUUAACAGUCUGAAACAUAUUGCAUUGAUGGAGGCCAAGAUGAAAAAACUCUCUGAUUUACUGAGUAAGAGAAUUGAACAAACAAAAGAAAAUGUGGUAAAGAAGCUAGCAUUGACGUAUGAGGAAAUGGAACAAGAAUGUAAGGAGAUCAAGGAUGGUUUUGCUGAGGGGAAAGACCUGGUUGUGUCUGUUAUGUCUGCAAUGGGGGAAGAGCAGAUCUGUGCUCUCAAAGACGUUGGUCCUAAGUAGUUUCAAAUUCAUUUAUUGCAAAUCUUAGAUGGAACCAUAAAAGACUUUGGCAGUACUAAAUGCGGUUUUGAUGUUUUGUUUUGGGUUUGGAUAGAAAAAAGAGAACAACAAUAUAACUAGUUUCUUGUUGUGCUAUGGAUUACUGUUUUGCUUUUCUUUUUCAAUAAUUUUUAUUAUCUCGUCUUUA